rnacentral:rRNA from 1 species
CCUAGAGGGGGACAACAGUUGGAAACGACUGCUAAUACCGCAUACGAUCUAAUCUCGGCAUCGAGGAUAGAUGAAAGGUGGCCUCUACAUGUAAGCUAUCACUGAAGGAGGGGAUUGCGUCUGAUUAGCUAGUUGGAGGGGUAAUGGCCCACCAAGGCGAUGAUCAGUAGCCGGUCUGAGAGGAUGAACGGCCACAUUGGGACUGAGACACGGCCCAG